ACGCAUAGUUGGUAGCUGCUCUUUUGAGUAGAGGAAAGUCCGUGCUAGCACCAUCUGCGAUGAUGGUAGUGAUCAUGCUAAGCCAAAUAAGCUUAGGCCCAGACGACUAGUGCCACAGAGACGAGAAUUGUGAAACGCGGUAAACUCCAUGAGCUAGAAACCCAAAUUUUGGUAGGGGAACCCGAAACAAGGAAUUGAACAAGUUUUGGGAGUGUUAUUUUAUAACAUUAGAUAAAUUACCAACACUGAUUUUAUCAGAACAGAACACGGCUUAUAAUG
rnacentral:RNase_P_RNA from 1 species